rnacentral:rRNA from 1 species
AUUGAACGCUGGCGGCAGGCUUAACACAUGCAAGUCGAACGAGUGGCGGACGGGUGAGUAAUGCUUGGGGAUCUAGCUUAUGGAGGGGGAUAACUACUGGAAACUGUAGCUAAUACCGCGUACCAUCGGCUGAGCCCAAGUGGGAUUAGGUAGUUGGUUAGGUAAAGGCUCACCAAGCCGACGAUCUCUAGCUGGUCUGAGAGGCUGACCGGCCCAACUGGGAAUGAGAAACGGCCCAGACUCCUACGGGAGGCAGCAGUGGGGAAUAUUGCGCAAUGGGGGCAACCUGAUGCAGCCAUGCCGCGUGAAUGAAGAAGGCCUUCGGGUUGUAAAGUUCUUUCGGUAGCGAGGCGUUACCUACAGAAGAAGCACCGGCUAACUCCGUGCCAGCAGCCGCGGUAAUAC